rnacentral:rRNA from 1 species
UAGAGUUUGAUCCUGGCUCAGAUUGCCUUCUGGCGGCAGGCCUAACACAUGCAAGUCGAGCGGCAGCGACAACAUUGAACCUUCGGGGGAUUUGUUGGGCGGCGAGCGGCGGACGGGUGAGUAAUGCCUGGGAAAUUGCCCUGAUGUGGGGGAUAACCAUUGGAAACGAUGGCUAAUACCGCAUGAUAGCUUCGGCUCAAAGAGGGGGACCUUCGGGCCUCUCGCGUCAGGAUAUGCCCAGGUGGGAUUAGCUAGUUGGUGAGGUAAGGGCUCACCAAGGCGACGAUCCCUAGCUGGUCUGAGAGGAUGAUCAGCCACACUGGAACUGAGACACGGUCCAGACUCCUACGGGAGGCAGCAAGUGGGGAAUAUUGCACAAAUGGGCGCAAGCCUGAUGCAGCCAUGCCGCGUGUAUGAAGAAGGCGUUGGGAAAAAAAAAGAACUUUCAGCAGUGAGGAAGGAGGUAUCGUUAAUAGCGGUAUCUUUUGACGUUAGCUGCAGAAGAAGCACCGGCUAACUCCGUGCCAGCAGCCGCGGUAAUACGGAGGGUGCGAGCGUUAAUCGGAAUUACUGGGCGUAAAGCGCACGCAGGUGGUUUGUUAAGUCAGAUGUGAAAGCCCGGGGCUCAACCUCGGAAUUGCAUUUGAAACUGGCAGGCUAGAGUACUGUAGAGGGGGGUAGAAUUUCAGGUGUAGCGGUGAAAUGCGUAGAGAUAAGAAGGAAUACCGGUGGCGAAGGCGGCCCCCUGGACAGAUACUGACACUCACAUGCGAAAGCGUGGGGAGCAAAAAGGACCAGAUACCCUGGUAGUCCACGCCGUAAACG